UUUCCCGUGUGAGCACCGGUUACCUCUCAGAAGAAGAGUUCAUUUUAAAGCAAAUCUGUUUAUUAAAGGAAGUUUGCAGCCCUAAAAUGGAAUCAGCUGUAACAGAAAGAGAUGAGAAUGGAUGUGAGAAGACCUCUGAGCUUGCAAUACAAAUCUACGAUUCCAGCAACAAUCAGCACAGUGAAAUGGUAAACUCUGACAAGGAAACGAUAUCUACGGCUACAACAAAGAACGAUAAACGGCCGCCAAGAUCAGAAAGGUAGAGACGACGUCAUGAAGAACUUUUGCUUUCAAAGCGUGAAAACAGGAAUAAAAAGAAAAUGGAAAUGAAGGAAAGAAAAAGAGAGCAGGCAGAAACACAAUCUGAUGGAGAAAGGCAAGCUGGCCAUGCAAGUGGGUAGCCUGUACGGGUCCAACAGAAGGGCAGAUAAACCUGCCCAUAUCUACCUGAUUGGCUUGAAGAAAGGGGGACAACUCUAUCAGGAAAUGGUGAUCAAGAAUUCAG